UUCACAGUUUAAUCUUUGUGGAACUGCAAUUGGGAGGUAAGCAUAGUUUCUGUCUUGACUUUAUAUAUUAUUCAAUUUUCUUUCCUAUUACUGCUUAAAAUUAAUAUCAUGAGCCCGAUAUGCUUGAUAAGAUGUUACUUGAUUAAGCAUUGUUACUGAGUUCCAUCUGAACUAUUUUACUGAGGGUGGCGCUGCUGCUUGGGAUCUUAAACAAAACGUGGCUAUAAUAUUGUAAAAUCUAAUAAUGUAAUUUACUUUAAGUGGUUGUUUCAUUUUUCUUUUUGUUUUCUUUUUGGCCAACGGUUGUAUCAUUUUAAUGCUGGGAAUUGGUCGGCAUAAGCUUAUGAAUUUGCUAAAUCCAAGAAGCGAUCAAAUUUUUAGAUGCUUUUAGUUUUGUGAUUGAUUUACAUGAAAGUUAUUAUUUUUGAGUUAUUUUGAGUGCAAUAUAGCUUCAAUGAUCGAAUUCGAGAUGCUGUACUUGGUGGGUCUCCGUUUGGUCAUCCACUCCAACAAGGAUUUGCAACUGGUCUGUUAUUGCAGCUUAAUGGCCAUGAUCACGGGACAGAAGCUAAUGCAGACCUAAUGCUUGGUGCAUCAAGGGAUCACAUCCUGGUUGGAAUGGCUGCAAACUUGCGAGAUUUUGUACUAACCAAUUCUGACGGAAAAGAGGUAAAAGGUUCAGAAGUUCUACUACAUGAUGGGAUACCUGUUGCAUAUGCUUCAUCCCCCACAGAAACUGCUAACUAUGUUUCUGCUCAUGACAACGAAACCUUGUUUGACAUU